GAGGAAUACAUCGGAAUCUACUCUGUCGUGGGGGAUAACGUAGGGAAACUUACGCUAAUACCGCAUACGACCUACGGGUGAAAGCAGGGGAUCUUCGGACCUUGCGCGAUUGAAUGAGCCGAUGUCGGAUUAGCUAGUUGGCGGGGUAAAGGCCCACCAAGGCGACGAUCCGUAGCUGGUCUGAGAGGAUGAUCAGCCACACUGGAACUGAGACACGGUCCAGACUCCUACGGGAGGCAGCAGUGGGGAAUAUUGGACAAUGGGCGCAAGCCUGAUCCAGCCAUACCGCGUGGGUGAAGAAGGCCUUCGGGUUGUAAAGCCCUUUUGUUGGGAAAGAAAUCCAACUGGUUAAUACCCGGUUGGGAUGACGGUACCCAAAGAAUAAGCACCGGCUAACUUCGUGCCAGCAGCCGCGGUAAUACGAAGGGUGCAAGCGUUACUCGGAAUUACUGGGCGUAAAGCGUGCGUAGGUGGUUAUUUAAGUCCGUUGUGAAAGCCCUGGGCUCAACCUGGGAACUGCAGUGGAUACUGGAUGACUAGAAUGUGGUAGAGGGUAGCGGAAUUCCUGGUGUAGCAGUGAAAUGCGUAGAGAUCAGGAGGAACAUCCAUGGCGAAGGCAGCUACCUGGACCA
rnacentral:rRNA from 1 species